GGUGUUUGAUAUACCCGAUAGCCNGUGAAAGCAAGAGGUACAGGUUCGGCCGUGCCAAUCAUUGGCGGNAUCCAUGUCUUGUGAUGAGGCAUGGCGCACCGCCGGCCCGUGCUAGGCCAUGUGUCUUGCGCGGAGCCCAAGCAUGCACGAUGCGACCCGAAAGAUGGUGAACUAUGCGUGUACAGGAUGAAGCCAGGCGAAAGCCUGGUGGAGGUCCGUAGCGAUUCUGACGUGCAAAUCGAUCGUCUGAUAUGCGUAUAGGGGCGAAAGACUAAUCGAACCAUCUAAUAGCUGGUUCAUUGUGAAGUAUCCCUCAGGAUAGCAGGCGCUCAAUGCGCGCAGUCUCUCCCGGUAAAGCGAAUGAUUAGAGGUCUUGGGAAUGAAACGUUCUCAACCUAUUCUCAAACUUUAAAUGGGUGAGAUGGUCGACCUACUUCGGUGAGGUUCGGCCCGGCUCGGAUGGCUGAGUGCCUAGUGGGCCAUUUUUGGUAAGCAGAACUGGCGCUGUGGGAUGAACCGAACGUUGAGUUACGGUGCCCGAGUGAGACGCUCAUCANAUCCCAUAAAAGGUGUUGGUUGCUAUAGACAGCAG
rnacentral:rRNA from 1 species